CCUACGGGUGGCAGCAGUGAGGAAUAUUGGUCAAUGGACGUAAGCCUGAACCAGCCAAGUCGCGUGAAGGAUGACUGUUCUAUGGAUCGUAAACCUCUUUUAUAUGGGAAUAAAGUGCGGGACGUGUCCCGUUUUGUAUGUACCUUAUGAAUAAGGAUCGGCUAACUCCGUGCCAGCAGCCGCGGUAAUACGGAGGAUCCGAGCGUUAUCCGGAUUUAUUGGGUUUAAAGGGUGCGUAGGUGGCUUGUUAAGUCAGCUGUGAAAGUUUGUGGCUCAACCAUAAAAUUGCCGUUGAAACUGGUAGUCUUGAGUAUAUUUGAGGUAGGCGGAAUGCGUGGUGUAGCGGUGAAAUGCUUAGAUAUCACGCAGAACUCCGAUUGCGAAGGCAGCUCACUAAACCACAACUGACACUGAGGCACGAAAGCGUGGGUAUCAAACAGGAUUAGAUACCCUAGUAGUC
rnacentral:rRNA from 1 species